rnacentral:rRNA from 1 species
UACAGAGGUCUCAAGCGUUGUUCGGAUUCAUUGGGCGUAAAGGGUGCGUAGGCGGGUCUUUAAGUCAGGGGUGAAAUCCUGGAGCUCAACUCCAGAACUGCCUUUGAUACUGAGGAUCUUGAGUCCGGGAGAGGUGAGUGGAACUGCGAGUGUAGAGGUGAAAUUCGUAGAUAUUCGCAAGAACACCAGUGGCGAAGGCGGCUCACUGGCCCGGUACUGACGCUGAGGCACGAAAGCGUGGGGAGCAAACAGG